ensembl:lncRNA
GGUCCUGAUGGGUUGUAGGGAUUCAGAGUCCAUGUUUUGUCUCCUGAUAUGUUCUCUGAUGGUCCUGAUGGGUUGUAGGGAUUCAGAGUCCAUGUUUUGCACAAGCGAUGCAAUGCUUUUAAAAAUCAAGUAGAAAUGAAUCUGAGAACCAUUUUAUGGAUGUAUUCAUUCACCUGAACAACAGCUGACCCUAAAGCACAGAACAGUUUGCAUAGUCUUUCUCAAAUCAACCCCAAACACACUCGCUGGGGGGCUUGUGACCGACCGACAGACAGACCGAUGUGGAUGGAAGAGACAGACAGACAGAUGUGGAUGGAAAGAGACAGACAGACAGAUGUGGAUGGAAAGAGACAGACAGACAGACAGGCAUUGUCAGACAGAUGUCGACGGAGAAUGUGUGCAGGUUACUUUUAACGGGGAGGAGGAAAGACAAACGGAGAACUGUAGAAUCAGGAGUUGAUUAUCUCUCUCUCUUGUAACUGUCUCUGUAUAGUUGGUGUUGCGAUCAUGGCUUCUCUUGGGAGGGUUUAUCGUUUCUCAUAUGAACAUUUUUCUUGUUUUAUAUUUUUCUCCUCCUGUGACAGUUUGUCAGUUAUGCGUCUGUCUCACUAUGCACUCUAAACGGCUAUGUAACUACCUGCUUGACUGCAGCGAUCACAAUAGUAGUGAUCAAACGGAUGGAUUGAUUGAUUGAUUGAUUGAAUUGAUUGACACCAAUGGAAACAAACAGAUUCUGGUUACAGGGGAAGCACAUCAAUAAACCCACUACUUCCAUAAA